rnacentral:sRNA from 1 species
GGAAUCUGGAUAUGGUGGGAGAGAGCUGGCCUAGAGCCAUGAAGCUCAGACCCUCCUGAAGACGGAGGCUUGGGUGCUUGGAGAACACGUAGUAGAGAAUGCUUUUUCUUUCCUCCUUGGCUCUCUCUUGGCAGAAGGUGAUGAGCCUGGCUCCAAUCUGCUGGCGAACUCCCCUCUGAUGGAGGAUGCUCCACAGAGGCUGCGGUGGCAGGCCCACCUGGAGUUCACCCAUAACCACGAUGUGGGGGAUCUCACCUGGGACAAGAUUGCUGUCUCCCUACCCCGCUCUGAGAAGCUCCGCUCCCUGGUGCUGGCCGGCAUCCCACAUGGCAUGAGGCCACAGCUGUGGAUGCGGCUCUCUGGGGCCCUGCAGAAGAAGAGGAACUCUGAGCUGUCCUACCGCGAGAUUGUGAAGAACAGCUCCAACGAUGAGACCAUCGCUGCCAAGCAGAUCGAGAAGGACCUGCUCCGCACCAUGCCCAGCAAUGCCUGCUUCGCCAGCAUGGGUAGCAUCGGGGUGCCCCGCCUGCGCAGGGUGCUCCGGGCCCUGGCCUGGCUCUACCCAGAGAUCGGCUACUGCCAGGGCACCGGCAUGGUGGCCGCCUGCCUCCUGCUGUUCCUGGAGGAGGAGGAUGCCUUCUGGAUGAUGUCUGCCAUCAUCGAGGACCUGCUCCCCGCCUCCUACUUCAGCACCACCCUGCUGGGCGUCCAGACUGACCAGCGGGUCCUGCGCCACCUCAUUGUCCAGUACCUGCCUCGCCUGGACAAGCUGCUCCAGGAGCAUGACAUUGAGCUGUCCCUGAUCACACUGCACUGGUUCCUCACGGCCUUCGCCAGCGUGGUGGACAUCAAGCUGCUCCUGCGCAUCUGGGACCUGUUUUUCUACGAGGGCUCCCGGGUGCUGUUCCAGCUCACGCUGGGCAUGCUGCACCUCAAGGAGGAAGAGCUGAUCCAGUCAGAGAACUCGGCCUCCAUCUUCAACACGCUAUCGGAUAUCCCGUCGCAGAUGGAGGACGCGGAGCUGCUUCUGGGGGUGGCCAUGCGGCUGGCCGGCUCCCUCACCGAUGUGGCCGUGGAGACUCAGCGCCGCAAGCACCUGGCCUAUCUCAUUGCAGACCAGGGCCAGCUCCUGGGGGCCGGCACCCUCACCAACCUCUCUCAGGUGGCCCAGGAUGGGGGGGCCGCACCUUGACCCACAGCACACGGGGAGGAGGGGUCACCUUGAAGUUCAGAGCGCAGGGGCUGCGGGAAACAAACCAGCCCUUCCUGCUCUGCCCCCCAGCCUGGCCCAGUCAGACCACAGCUGUGGGGUGAUCCAUGCCUCCUCAGGCUUUGUGCACCUCAGGUUCUGAUCCCGGCACGGUUUGGGAGGAAGGCAGACCCAGCUCUGAUUAUCUGUUUUCAAUUCUUGGAGCCAGCGUCAGAGGCUAUUUCAGAUGAGACAGUAUAAGCCAAGGGCUGGUGGGUUCUCUUCCUCCCGGGGCCAGGACCACCCUGACCCACUCCUCUUGGUGCAGGUUGUUCGCCGCAGGACCCAGCGGAGGAAGUCCACCAUCACUGCUCUGCUCUUUGGUGAGAGCUCUGCGAGUGCCAGGCAGUGUGGGCAUGCGGGAGUCUGUCCUCACGCUCAUGUGGACGUGGAGCUUCCUCCUCGGGGGCCUGGAGUGGGCUGUGGUCACCAUUGCUCUCUGGGCCUCCUAGGGGAGGAUGACCUGGAGGCACUCAAGGCCAAGAACAUCAAGCAGACGGAACUGGUGGCUGACCUCCGGGAAGCCAUCCUGCGCGUGGCACGCCACUUCCAGUGCACAGACCCCAAAAACUGCAGCGUGGUGAGUCGCCAGCUCCCUGGGCUGCUACCAAACAUGGCCCUAACUCCUCCAACCCCCUUGGUGGGCCUGUUUUCACUGUGGCAGGAGCUGACUCCAGACUACAGCAUGGAGAGCCACCAGCGGGACCACGAGAACUACGUGGCAUGCUCACGCAGCCACCGGCGCCGAGCCAAGGCCCUGCUGGACUUUGAGCGGCACGACGACGACGAGCUGGGCUUCCGCAAGAACGACAUCAUCACAGUGCGUUGGGGGCGCUGGGUUACCAGGUCCUCAGGCUGUGGCGGGUUCCCCAGACUCCCUCCACCAAGCCCCACCCAACCCCUUUCCCUGCCAAGAGCUUCUCUUGUGAAGAUGUAGGGGUCUUGGCCUGGCCUAGUUGCUGAGGAGUCAUAUCGGGGGUGCAGGAGGCGCUGGCCCAGGGCACCCAGCUUUGGUUCCUGCUGUUUUUCCUCCUGUGCAGAUCGUGUCUCAGAAGGACGAGCACUGCUGGGUGGGGGAGCUCAACGGCCUGCGAGGUGGGGUCCUUGGUCUGCUCUUGAGCUGGGAGAGGGAGGAGGGGGUGGGCACAGAAGACUUGGGUGACCCUGGCCGCCACCAGGCUGUUCUCCUCUAUACCCCUGCCUGGCUUGAGGUCCCUGAAGCAGCUGAGCCGGCUUCCCACUGCCUCAGCCUGCCUGCAGGCUGUGUCUGCUCUGUCCUCGGCCCUCGUGGUUGCUCCUUACAGGGCCUGUUUUUCCCACAGGCUGGUUUCCAGCCAAGUUCGUGGAAGUCCUGGAUGAGCGCAGCAAAGAGGUGAGGGGGGUGGGCGGGCUAGGCACGGCUGGCACCCUUCUAGCCAGGGCCUGCGUGCCCAGUGAGUCCUGGCCUGUAGCAUGGCAGAGAGGACAGAGGAGGGUGACUGGCUGCAGGCAUCAGGCAGGGCUUUCUCAGACCCAUCCCUCCCAUCAGUACUCCAUCGCGGGGGAUGACUCGGUGACGGAGGGGGUCACAGACCUCGUGCGAGGGACCCUCUGCCCGGCCCUUAAGGCCCUGUUCGAACAUGGACUGAAGAAGCCAUCCCUGCUUGGGGGCGCCUGCCACCCCUGGCUGUUUAUCGAGGAGGCUGCAGGCCGGGAGGUCGAGAGAGACUUUGCCUCCGUGUAUUCCCGUCUGGUGCUCUGUAAGACCUUCAGGUUGGAUGAAGAUGGCAAAGUCCUGACCCCGGAGGAGCUGCUCUACCGGGUAAGGGGGCCUCCUCUGCCAGACCCUAGAGAUCUCUCUGGGGUUAGCCUGUGGGGGAGCCUGAGUGACAGCUGACGGUGCCAUUCCCAGGCCGUGCAGUCUGUGAACGUGACCCACGAUGCAGUGCAUGCACAAAUGGAUGUGAAGCUCCGCUCACUGAUCUGCGUGGGGCUCAAGUGAGUGUGGAAAAGGGGUUGAAGGAGAGCCCUGGAGUGGGGGGACCCAGCCCAGCAUCAGGGGGGGUCCUUACAGGGAACCCUAAAGGACAAAGAACCUCAGGGGCUCAGGUCCUUCCCCAAAGAGGGUGGUCUGGGAGCUGCUGAGAGACAGGUCAGAGGCUUCCACCGUGGCUGCAGCCAGAAGGGCCUGGAGCCGCCCCUGCUCCCCACUCCUGGCCAUGUCCCCAGUGAGCAGGUGCUGCACCUGUGGCUGGAGGUGCUCUGCUCCAGCCUGCCCACCGUGGAGAAGUGGUACCAGCCCUGGUCCUUCCUGCGCAGCCCAGGCUGGGUCCAGAUCAAGUGUGAGCUCCGAGUCCUCUGCUGCUUUGCCUUCAGCCUCUCCCAGGACUGGGAGCUCCCUGCAAAGAGAGAGGUGGGUGGUGUGGGCCUCGUAGGGCCUGCACUGAUGGAGCUGCCCAAACCGUUCGCGGGGUGGCUAAGGUGGGAACCCGAAGUGCUGGUGUCAGCGGUUAGGAACUACCCCAGCCAUGCCCAAGGCCUGUGAGGUGAGGGGCUGCCCUGUUUGCAGGCGCAGCAGCCCCUGAAGGAGGGCGUCCGGGACAUGCUGGUGAAGCACCACCUCUUCAGCUGGGAUGUGGACGGGUGACCCCCUCCUCCCCAGCCCAACCUCGGGCCUGCGUCUGAGGUGGCCCAGGGAAGAGCAGCUCCAGAGCCCUGGCCAGGGCCCCGGGAUAUCAGGCUGCCCCGCUCCACGUUCCCCAGCACAUCCCAGGUGGUGGGAGCAGAGGGUACCCUGCCCCACCAGGGUCCUUAGGGAUGCUCUAGGCCAAACCACAGUUUGUACCAAAAACCUUGUGAGGAGGUGGGGGAGCCAUGUCUGUGCUCAGGAAGAGGGAAGGGGAUGGGGGUGGCUAGUAGGCUCCUGGCCUCUUUGGUUUAUAAAUAAACUGUGUCUGUCUUUG